rnacentral:rRNA from 1 species
GACGAACGCUGGCGGCGUGCCUAAUACAUGCAAGUAGAACGCUGAGACGGGAGCUUUCUUCUCUGGAUGAGUUCCGAACGGGGGAGUGACGCGUAUGUAACCUGCCUGUUAGCGGCGGAUAACUAUUCGAAACGAUAGCUAAUACCGCAUAAUAGUAGAUGUCCCAUGACAUUUACUUGAAAGAUGCAGUUUCAUCACUACUAGAUGGUCCUGCGUUGUAUUAUCUAGUUGGUGAGGAAACGACGCACUAAGGCAACUAUCCAUAGCCGACCGGGGAGGGUGAUGGGCAACACUGGAACGGAGACAGGGCCCGAACUCCUACGGAAGGCGGCGGAGGGGAACCUUCGGCAAGGAGGGAAGGCCGAACGGAGCAACGCCGCGUGGGGAAGGAGGGUCUUCGAAUGGUAAACCUCGUUGUAUGGGAAGGAAGAGAGGGGGAGGGAAAAGUGCACACUGUGACGGUACCUAAUCAGAAAGCGACGGCUAACUACGUG